rnacentral:rRNA from 1 species
GACGAACGCUGGCGGCGUGCCUAAUACAUGCAAGUCGAACGCACAGUUUAUACCGUAGCUUGCUACACCAUAGACUGUGAGUUGCGAACGGGUGAGUAACGCGUAGGUAACCUGCCUGGUAGCGGGGGAUAACUAUUGGAAACGAUAGCUAAUACCGCAUAAUAUUAAUUAUUGCAUGAUAAUUAAUUGAAGGGUGCAAUUGCACCACUACCAGAUGGACCUGCGUUGUAUUAGCUAGUAGGUGAGGUAACGGCUCACCUAGGCGACGAUACAUAGCCGACCUGAGAGGGUGAUCGGCCACACUGGGACUGAGACACGGCCCAGACUCCUACGGGAGGCAGCAGUAGGGAAUCUUCGGCAAUGGACGAAAGUCUGACCGAGCAACGCCGCGUGAGGGAAGAAGGUUUUCGGAUCGUAAAGCUCUGUUGUAAGAGAAGAACGGGUGUGAGAGUGGAAAGUUCACACUGUGACGGUAUCUUACCAGAAAGGGACGGCUAACUACGUG